CCUCCUUCUUCUUCUUCGCCUCCUUUUCUUCACCUCCUUCUUCUUCGCCUUCUUCUUCUUCGCCUCCUUCUUCUUCGCCUCCUUCUUCUUCUUCGCCUCCUUCUUCUUCGCCUCCUUCUUCUUCGCCUCCUCCUUCUUCGCCUCCUCCUUCUUCGCCUCCUUCUUCUUCGCCUCCUUCUUCUUCGCCUCCUUCUUCGCCUCCUUCUUCUUCGCCUCCUUCUUCUUCGCCUCCUUCUUCUUCGCCUCCUCCUUCUUCGCCUCCUCCUUCUUCGCCUCCUCCUUCUUCGCCUCCUUCUUCUUCGCCUCCUUCUUCUUCGCCUCCUCCUUCUUCGCCUUCGUCAACAACAACCGAUCAGCUUACAAGGAGGCUAACAAAACAUUUUCUUAAUCACCACCAUCACCUCCACCACCACCUCCACCACCAUCUCCACCACCUCCACCACCACCUCCACCACCAUCUCCACCACCACCACCACCACCACCUCUUGAUCACCGCUAAUCACCACCACUAGAAUUAACACUUUUAUAAACCCAACAUAAAAGAACAAAAAGACAUCAAACAAUACAUAAACUCUGAAAUAUGAAGUAAAGAAUAAUUAGAUGUCACCAACCCGAUGUAACAAAAGAUAGUAAUGGAGAUAAUGAUAAUAAUGAUGGUAAUUAAAUAUAUAUACAAGAAAACAAAGAAAUAUGGAAAGUAGGACAAUUAACACGACUUUUCUUUACUAGUUUUCAUUUUUUUUUUCAUUAUUAUUAUUAUUUGAAAGCACCGGCAUCAUCAUCAUCAUCAUCAUCAUCACCACCACCUCAACAUCUAGAGAGAUAAAAAGAUAAAACAAACAUUCAUCAUAACAUCUGUAAAACCUCACAUUCGCUAUCGCAUCAUCACACACACACACACACACACACACACACACACACACACACACACAUCAUUACAUUCACUCAUAAGGAAAAUUACCUUAAAAAAAAAUUGAGAAAAAAUCGGAGGAAAAAAAGAAUGAAAAACAAAAACAAAAACAAGGGAGGGUCGGGGUUCAUAAACAUCCUUUUUGCAACGCAGGGAAAGGAAAACAUAAGAAAAAAAGCAAAAAAAAAAAAAAAAUACAGAUGAUAGACCUAUAUAUUCUUUUUUUUUUUUUUCAUCUUCGAACCAAUUGCUUCGUAGAGUUUCGAGUAGUUUUGGAUCAGCCCUGAGAGAGCAACUAUUUCGCGCCCCACGUUCGAAUCCCCGCCACCUCGCUGUGUGUGUGUGUGUGGCGCGCGUUCCUUCCUCUAUAGUAGUAUAAACUCGCUUAUUUUUUUCCCAUUUUAUAUGAAACGUCAAUCAUUUUUUUGGGAAUGAAUGUAAUUAAUUCUCUACUUGUAAGUCUUCAACCUUCAUAUUUCCCCCUUUUGUUCGUAUUAAAAGCCGUAAUUCGUUUUUCUUUUCAUCUUCAACUUUUGUAAAAUCGUAACUUUCAUUUUUUUCCUGUUUUCAUCUUGUAAUUAACUUUCAUAUUGUUCCCUGUUUUCAUUCUUUUAAAACCAUGAGUAUUUUUUUUCCUGUUCUCAUAAUCUUGUAAUAUUGUAACUCAUUUUUUUUCCAUCUUUCAGCUUUUGUAAAAUCGUAACUUUCAUUUUUUUCCUGUUUUCAUCUUGUAAUUAACUUUCAUAUUGUUCCCUGUUUUCAUUAUUUUAAAACCAUGAGUAGUUUUUUCCUGUUUUCAUAAUCUUGUAAUAUUGUAACUCUUUUUUUUUCCAUCUUUCAGCUUUUGUAAAAUCGUAACUUUCAUUUUUUCCCCGUUUUCAUCUUGUGAUACUGUAACUUUCAUAUUUUUCCUGUUUUCAUCCUUUAGUCAUGUCAUUUUUUUCCUGUUUUCAUAAUCUUGUAAAACCGCAACUUUCCUUGAUUUCCUAUUUUCGUCCUUUAAAACCGUAACUCAUUCUAUUUAGUUUUCAUAUUCUUAUAAAAUUAACUUUUUUUUUCAUAUUUUUAUCUUCUAGUAGAUUUAAAAUUUCUUCCCCUUUUUAUCUUCUUACGAGUUCAUCUCAGAAUAAACUUACUUCCAAUUUAAACAAGUGACAAAACUCAUUUUCUACUUGUCCGUAAUUUUAUUUUUUUCCCUCUAUCAUCUUCUAAAAGCUCAAACUUAUUUUUUUCCUGUUUAAAAUGACAUAAUUUUAUCUUUAUUUAUGCCUUUACUCUCCCGUGAUUUUUUUAAGAGCGUGACUUUAUUUUAUUUCCCAUUUUAAAACCGUAACUUCCAUUCUCCAUCUUUCAUUGUAUAAAUCCGUGGACUUAGAUUACCGACUUUCCACUUGCAAUACAUAUUUUUUUCCCCGUGUAGAUAUUCUUAACCAUAGCUUCCACCUUUUUCCCUUCUUCAUCUUUUCAUUCGUUUCAAUAUAUCUUCCUUUUUUCAUCUUACAAUAUUAUUUUUUCUCAUCUUAAGAGAACUAUUUUUUUUUCCACCUUUACGUUUUCAAAAUAAUUUCUCACCUUACAAUCCUAACGCCAUUUCUUAUGCUUUUCUUUUUCUUUUAACCUUUGUAAUGAACUUCCUUUGAUGGAUCUUAGGAAAACCGAACUUCAUUUUCCCGCCUUCACCUCCUUUUCAUCCUUUUAAGUAGUUUUUUCCUGUUGUCAUAAUCUUGUAAUAUUGUAACUCAUUUUUUUUACAACUUUCAGCUUUUGCAAAAUCGUAACUUUCAUUUUUUUCCUGUUUUCAUCUUGUAAUACUCUAACUUUCAUUUUGUUCCCUUUUUUCAUCCUUUUAAAACCAUAAGUAAUUUUUUUCCCCGUUGUCAUAAUCUUGUAAUAUUGUAACUCAUUUUUUUUCACAACUUUCAGCUUUUGCAAUAACCUCUUUUCCACAUUUUACACCUACCCAAUUUCCUCUCCUCCAUCCUGUAAUGCGCUAAACGACUUCUUUCAUCUUUUAAUAACGUACUUUAAUUUUUUCCAUCUUAUAAUGAGGAAGCUUAGAGUACAUCCUCCGUCUAAUGACUUACCGCGCCUUCAUACAGCGUAACACAUCUUUUAUCUUGAAGUAUCGCAUUUUUGUUUCUUCUAAUAUGAAAACGACUAUGCUUUAUCUUUAACAUCGUAACGCCUCUUCCUUUGUUUUUGUAAUAACUAAAACAAACACAAAUUUAGUCUCGUUUCGUCUUGAAUAUUGUAACUCCUUUUUCCUCUAUUCUUCUCUUCGUCUUAGAUGCUGUAAUUCUGUUUUCUAUCUUCGUAUAAUAACUUUAAAAAAUUUACACACACCUACAUCUUUACCUUGAAAUAUCGUAAUUGUUUUUAUGAUAUUGGUUACGAAAAAAUACUAUAUGUUUCUUAGACAACAGUUUUUAUCUCCGUACAACACACAACUACAUACAAUUUUAGCUUCGUCUUGAAUAUUGUAACUUUUUUUCCUUCUAUUGGUUACGAAAAAAUACUAUAUGUUUCUUAGAUAACAGUUUUUAUCUCCGUAUAACACACAACUACAUACAAUUUUGGUUUCGUCUUGAAUAUUGUAAUUUUUUUUACUCUAUUGGUUACGAAAAAAGACUAUGUUUCUUUUUAGAUAUCUUAACAAUUUUUAUCUCCGUAUAACACACAACUGCAUACAAUUUUAGCUUCGCCUUGAAUACUGUAACUUUUUUUCUUAUAUUGGUUACGAAAAAAUAUCAUCAUAAUGUUUGGUCUUGGAUAUGUUAAUUAUUUUAUUUUUAUCUAUAACAAUACAUCUAUACACAACUCAAUGUUUUAUCUUGAAUAUUGUAACUCGCUUUUAUUUUUCUCUUCUAUAGUUUGUGUUUGAAUCAGAUAUCGCCAUUUAUUUUCUCUCUUUGGAUUAACAACUUGAAGGCAACCACACACACAUUUACUGUUCUCUCGUCUUGAAUUUCGUUGUCUUUUCCUUUGGUUAUGAAAAAGCCAACUACAUGUUCCAUCAUAAGACUGUAACUUUUUAUCUUCUUUCCUUUGGUUGUGAAGAGAACUCAGCGUUUUAUUUAUUUAUUUAUUUUCAACCGUGAACUAAUAUAAAAUGUUUAUUCUUCUAGUUUCCCUGAAGUGUUCAAUUUCUCUAAUGUUUCCUCUCCUUUUUUUUCUGAGGAAUGGAGAAUUUAUGGCUGCCCUUUCCUUUUGAGUGGGAAACUAAUACAAAAUGUUCACUUUUCUACUCUUUCUUCGCAAGUGUUAAAAUUCUCUGAUAUUUUCUUUCAUUUUCUUGUUAGUGUAGAAAAUUUAUGACUGCCCUUAUCUGUUAAAUGGGAAACUAUUACAGACUGUUCACUUUUUUUUAUUCCUUCUUCUCAAGUGUUACAUUUCUCUAAUAAUUUUUUUCAUUUUCUUGUUAGGAAUAGAAAAUUUAUGACCCCUUUUUUGUUGAAUGGGAAAUUAUUACAAACUGUUCACUGUAUUUUAUUCUAUUUUCCCUUCCGUAGUAUUGAAUUUCUCUGAUGUUUUCCUUUAUUUUCUUGUGAGGAAUUGAAACUUUGUGAUAUCCCCUUUUUUUUAAUGGCAAAUCAAUACAAUCUGUUCAAUCCUUUCUAUAUCUCUUCUAGUGUUGGAUUCCUUUUUCUUGUAGGUAGGAAAAAAUGUAUGAUGUCUCUUUUGAAUGGAAAGUAAAUACAAAAUAUCUACUUUUAUUUAUCUUUAUAUUAUAUUUUUCUUUACUUCUUCUAAAGGGUAAUAACUUUUUGGUGUUCCUUUUCAGUUUUCUUUUUGCUUCUUUCUUUAUAAGGACGAAUAAGACAAGAUGAAGCUAAACAAACAAACAGAUAGGAAGGUGUUUAAAAUCUUGUCUUCACUCACUUCCUCGCUUCGGAGCUUCAGAUAAUUUAAGUCUCGGCUUCACGUGUCUCAAAAUCCUUCAAUACCAACUAGAACCUUAAUGUCCGAGUGACUUAUUAUUAUCAUUACCUUUAUCAUCCUUUCCUUUGUGUCACUGAUGAAAAAGUAGAUUAGUCACCAACCUGAGUGAGCCAAACUGAUUGAAGCUUUCUUUGGCAUCCAUUCCAUUGCUUCGAGCUUCUGAGUGGUACCCGAACGAAGCUUCUUAAGAGUUCUGUAGGUUGUGAGUCCCUUUUGUUUCCGUUCGUUGUGACGCUGUGGGGAGAAUAAACGAAAUGAUAUGAACUGUGUCUUUCCAAUGGUGAUACACUAUAGGCUACAGGUGAAAAUAUUUGGACAGCUUAUACAAGAAACUGAAGAAAAAUGAUAAACAAAAUCUACACUUUCUGAAAACAAGUACGUCGUAGAGAAUGAACGAAAUUACAUGAACUUUUUUUUUCCAGUGGUGAUACACAAUAGGCUACAGGUGAAAAUACUUGGACAGCUUAAACAAGAAACCAAAGAAAAAUGAUAAACAGCAUCUACACUUUCUGAAAACAUGUACACCGUAGAGAGGAUAAACGAAAGAUCAUAGAGAAUAAACGAAAUUAUAUGAGCUGUUUUGCAGGCCUUAUACAGGACGGAAAAAAUUAUAAACUAGAUCUACACUUUCUGAAAACAUGUACACCGUAGAGAGGAUAAACGAAAGAUCAUAGGGAGAAUAAAUGAAAUGAUGUGAACUGUUUCUUUACAAUAUGGUGAUACACUAGACAUAGGUAAAAAUAUUUGCACGCCUUAUACAUGACAAAAAAAAGGAAAAACAUGAUCUACUCUUUCAGAAAACAAAUACAUCGUAGGGAAGAUUUAACAACAAAAUUUAAAUAAUGUUUUUUAACUGUUUCUUUCCAAUACACUAUACACAAGGUAAAAUAUUUCCACACCUUAUACAAAGCAAUUAAAAUAAGAAAAAGAAGAUCUAUUCUUUCUGAAGAGAGAUACAUCGUAAAGGAGAAAUACCGACAUAAUUUCAACUAUAUUUUUGUUAGGGAUGAUAAAUUAUAAAAAUGUGUUAAAAGUCCUCUCUACAAGAAAAAAUAUAUAGAAAUUCAAGAAAAAAGUUCCCUUCAGAUGAAAAAUAAGUAACGAGUGAAAAAAUCAUCAAAAAGAACAGAGUAUUUCUUUCAAGGUUGGUAAAUUCUAAAGAGAAAAAAUUGUUCAUACAUACGAAAAAUUAGAACUAAAAAACGAAAAAAAAAAACUCAGCUAACCAAAAAUACAACUGUCGUGAAAAGAACAAUCCAUCAAAAAGAUCCACGUUAUUUUUUUUUGGGGGGGGCUUCGUUAUGGUACUCUGAAAAAAAAAUAUAUAAACUGUUUUUGGUUUUGUUUUUUACAGUAAAGGACGCAGCUCAAGGGCAAGAAAAAAGGAACAAAAAAACCCUUAUUUUAUUCUAUCCCUCUGUGAAGAAAAAAAAAACUGAACUGCUUUUAUUUGAUUAUUAUUAUGAGAAAGCCGCUUGUCUUAUAUCAAAAUAAAUUAACAUUUUUUUACAGUAAAGGAAAGAGCUCAAGUGUAAAAAAAAAAGAGAAAACAAUAAUGAAAAAAACGCAAAUCACUACUACGAUAAAAAAAAGAGUUAAGAGGAGCUUUUUUUUAUAUACAAGAAUAAACUACAUUAAUACUAGUGAAAAAAUAAUGAAAAAAAAAAUCACUCUGGAGGAAAGUGAACGCUAAGAUCUGACCCAAUAAAGACAAGACAAAGAAAUUUUCUCUUUUUAUUUUUUUACGUUUACGUUCAUAAAAAUUCACCUGUUAUUUAUUCUCACCUGUUAUUAUCCUUUCAUCCGCUAUUUUUUUUUACCUGUUAUACGUUAAAAAAAUCACCUGUUAAUUAUUUUCAUGUUAUUAUCCUUUCAUCCGCAAUUUUUUUUUUUUUACCUGUUAUACCUUCAAAAAAAUUACCUGUUAAUUAUUCUCAUCUGUUAUUAUACUUUCAUCCGCUAUUUUUAUUUUUUUACCUGUUAUACGUAAAAAAAAUUCACCUGUUAAUUAUUCUCAUCUGUUAUAAUACUUUCAUUCGCUUUUUUUUCAUUUUUUUUAUAUAUUUUUUGUACCUGUUAUACGUUCAAAAAUUCACCUGUUAUUUUUUUUACCUAUUACUCGUUCAAAAAAUUCACCUGUUAUUUUUUUUACCUGUUAUACGUUCAAAAAAAUCACCUGUUAAUUACACUCAUCUAUUAUACUUUCAACCGCUAUUUUCAUUUUUUUUACCUGUUCUACCUUAAAAAAAUUCACCUGUUAUUUUUUUUACCUGUUAUACGUUCAAAAAAAUCACCUGUUAAUUAUUCUCAUCUAUUAUACUUUCAACCGCAAUUUUCAUUUUUUUUUUUACCUGUUCUAUCUUAAAAAAAUUCACCUGUUAUUUUUUCUACCUGUGGCCAGAACGGAAGGCAAAGAAUUUUAUCCGAAGCUUCUCCUCCCACGACGACAGGACAACUUUUUCACAGACGUCCUUGUUUGUUUGUUUGUUUGUGUUUGUUUUGUGUUUGUUUAUUUGGUUGGUUCUUUUGGCACUAUUGACUGACUUUGACUCUCUCUCUCUCUCUCUCUCUCUCUCUCUCUCUCUCUCUCUCUCUCUCUCCUCCUUCAACUUCCUUAUUUUCUCUUCUCUUUCCAUCUUUUUUUUUGUAGUUUUUCAUCCCUCCAUUUUUUUUUUUUGCUUUUCUUCCUCCUUCACAUUAUUUAUUUAUUUGAUUUUCCUCUCUUUCUCUUUUUUUCCUCCUCCUUCAUCUUUCUUCUUUUCUUAUUUUCUCUCUUUUUUUCCAUCUUCGUUUGCAGUCAUUAAUCCUUUUUUAUUUAUUUUCCUCCUCUUCCUCCUUCACUUUGUCAACUGAUUUUCCUCUCUUUCCCUUUUUCCUCCACCUCCAACUUUAUCUUUUCUUCCUCUUCAUUCUUUUUUUUUCUCUUACAAUCUCUUUCUGAUUUUCCAUUUUUUUCGCUUUGACUGACUUCCUCUCUUUCCCUUUUCCUGCUCCUCCUCCUCCUCUUCCUCUUCCUUCUCUUCUUUUUUUUAUUUUCCUUCCCAAUCUUUCUCCACUCUGCCAUUCUUUUUUUUUUUUUUGCUUCUCUUCCUCCUUCACAUUACUGACUGACUUUUCUCACUUUUCCCUUUUCCUCCUCCUCCUCCUCAAACUCUUCCUUUUCCUCCUCUCCUUUUUUUAUUUUAUUUUCCAAUUUUUCCGGGUUGCAUUUUUUCCUUCUCUUCCUCCUCCACUGACUGACUUUCCUCUUUCCCGUUUUCCUUCUCCUCUUCUUUUUUUUCUUCCCUCUCUUUUUUUCUAUUUUCCUUUUUUUCUAUUUUUCCCUUUCUCCUUUUUUUCUAUUUCCCCUUUUCUUUCUGUUUUUCCCUUUCUCUUUCUUUCUAUUUUCCCUUUUUUCUAUUUUUCCCUUUCUCCUUUUUUCUAUUUUCCCUUUUCAUUCUCUUUCCGUACUGACCUUUUUUUUUUUUUCCCUUCUUGUGAUUUUCCUCUCCUUCUUUUCCUUCUCCUCAUCCUCCUUCUCUUUCUUCUUUUUAUUUCUAUUUCCCUUUUCCAAUCCCUUUCCGUAUUGCCCUUUUUUGUUUCUUCUUGGGUGACUUUCCUCUUUUCUUUCUCCUCUCCUCCUCCUCCUCCUCCUCCUCUUCCUCUCUUCCUCUUCGUUUCGUUCCUCACAUCCUUUUUUAUUUUCCUUUUCAAUCUCUUUCCGCUUUGCUGUGAUUUCUUUUUCGCUUCUCUUCCUUGAAUAUAUAUUUUUUUCUUUUCAAAACAAGACGAUUACGAAAAGCAUUGUUUAAACCUCCUCCCGUCUGCUCUUCUUCUUCCUAUUCUUCUUCUUCCUCCUCCUCCUCCUCCUCCUCUUUAUUAUCCUUUCAAGUUUAUUUCCUCAUUUUUUUCUCUUCUCUUUCUCAUAAUCAUAUUUUUUCGUCCCUAAGCAACACAAAUUACAUCUCCUCCUCUUCCUCUUCCUCUUCCUCCUCCUACUCCUUCUCCUCUUCCUCCACCCGUAUCUUAUGUUAGUUACGGUAAAAUAAAAUGCAAAUAAAAACAAACAAACACGGUAAAGAAAAAUAAGAGCGAACCAUUUUUUUUUUUUUCGUGUGAAUGUUCCUGCCCUUCACGUUUACGACCCUUUCAAAUGAAGCUUUUUAGACUUAAGCGUUCGUAGUAAAAGCUUAGCCUGUAGAUUAUAGCGUGUGUGUGUUUGUGUGUGUGUAUGAAUGAAUGAAUGAAUGGAUGAAUGAAUGUAUGAGAGAGAGAGAGAGAGAGAGAGAGAGAGAGAGAGAGAGAGAGAGAGAAAGAAAGAAAGAAAGAAAGAAAGAAAGAAAGAAGGAAAGAGAUUGAGAAAGAAAGAAAAAGAUUGAGAGAGAGAGAGAGAGAGAGAGAGAGAGAGAGAGAGAGAGAGAGAGAGAGAGAGAGAGAGAGAGAGAGCAUAUAUACAUGUGGACAGUUUGUUUCCCUGGGCAGACCAAAACAAACAAAAAGAAAAAGAAAAAAAAACACUAGCUAGACAAAGUACAGAGAGAGCAAACAUUCGCACACGCAAAACACACACAGUGGAUGAAAAAAACACACCAAAAAAACACGAAAAAAAAACUUCACGAACUGCACAAAUAAAGAAAAGAUAAUUAUGAACAUGAAAGGAAAAAUAAGUAUAGAGAAAGUACAUGUGAAAAGAUAAAUAUAAGAACAAGAAGUAAGGAAGUAAGGAAAAAUGAGUAAAAAGGUGGAAUAGAAAACAAGGAAAAAGGGGAAAAUAAAAUAAAAGUAAUGAAGUAAGGAAAAAUGAGUAAAAUAGUGGAAUAGAAAACAAGGAAGAAGGGGAAAAGAAAAGUAAGGAAGUAAGGAAAAAUUAGUAAAAAGGUGGAAUAGAAAACGAGGAAAAAGGGGAAAGAGGAAAUAAAAGUAAGGAAGUAAGGAAUAAUUAGUAAAAAAGGUGGAAUAGAAAACAAGGAAAAAGGGGAAAGAGGAAAUAAAAGUAAGGAAGUAAGGAAUAAUUAAUAAAAAAGGUGGAAUAGAAAACAAGGAAGAAGGGAAAAAGAAAGGAAAAGUAAGGAAGUAAGGAAAAAUGCGUAAAAAGGUGAAACACAAAACAAGGAACAAGGAAAAAAAAGUAAGGAAGUAAGGAAAAAUUCAAAAAGGGAAAAAAAAUAAAAGAAAAAUAAGAAAGUAAUGAAAAAUUAGUAAAAAAGUGAAAUACAAAACAAGGAACAAGGAAAAUACAAGUAAGGAAGCAAGGAAAAAUGAGCAAAAAGGUGAAAUCGACAACAAGAAACAAGGAAAAAGAGGAAAAAGUAACUAAAUGAAGACAAAGAAAAUGAUAGCAAUAAGGGUUCACCAACAUACACACAAACUAACCCACCCACGCCAAAACAAAAACAAGAAAAGGGAUGAAUGAAAGUAAGAAUAUAAGAAAAUAAAGACAAUGAGAAUGACGUAACGAUAGAACAAAACUAAGAAAGGAAAGUGAAAAAUGAUGAAACUGCAAAUACGCAAAAAAUUAAGAUAAAAAGAUAGACGAAAGAUAAUAAGGAAGAGCUUUAAAAUAGGUAAUCAAACAGGUAACUUAACAACUGUAUAAUGCAAAGAAAAGGGAAGGCAAAGAAUAAAAGAAAGAAGUUAAGAAAAUAACGAAAGAGCAAAUACACACAAACUCUUGCAUAGAAAAAAUAAACAAAGAGAAAGGGAAAGUACUCAAACAGGUAACUAUACAGGUAACCGACGUAAUCACUAACAAAGGUGUGCAAAUGAAGAGAGAGAUCACCUGUGCAGACCGUACCUUUAAUUAACUGACCUUGAGAGUGAAAGCGAAAGUAGAAUUGACAGGUAAAUAGCUAUACAGGUAACCAACGUAAUCACUAACAUAGGUGAGAGAGAGAGAGAGAGAGAGAGAGAGAGAGAGAGAGAGAGAGAGAGAGAGAGAGAGAGAGAGAGAGAGAGAGAGAGAGAGAGAGAGAGAGAGAGAGAGAGAGAGAGAA